rnacentral:rRNA from 1 species
CCUACGGGUGGCAGCAGUGAGGAAUAUUGGUCAAUGGACGAGAGUCUGAACCAGCCAAGUAGCGUGAAGGAUGACUGCCCUACGGGUUGUAAACUUCUUUUAUACGGGAAUAACACGAGGUACGUGUACCUCUUUGCAUGUACUGUAUGAAUAAGGAUCGGCUAACUCCGUGCCAGCAGCCGCGGUAAUACGGAGGAUCCGAGCGUUAUCCGGAUUUAUUGGGUUUAAAGGGAGCGUAGAUGGGUUGUUAAGUCAGUUGUGAAAGUUUGCGGCUCAACCGUGACAUUGCAAUUGAUACUGGCAGUCUUGAGUACGCUUAAGGUAGGCGGAAUUCGUGGUGUAGCGGUGAAAUGCUUAGAUAUCACGAAGAACCCCGAUUGCGAAGGCAGCUUACUAAACUGUGACUGACAUUGAUGCUCGAAAGUGUGGGUAUCAAACAGGAUUAGAUACCCUUGUAGUC